rnacentral:lncRNA from 1 species
AUGUAAACUAUGGACUCUGGGUGAUAAUAUUGUAACAAGUGUACCAUUGUGGUGGGGAAGUGGAGAUGUUGACAGUGGGAAGGCUGCAUGUUGGGGGACAUGGGAACUCUAUACUUUGCACUCAAUUUUGCUGUGAACUACAACUGCUCUGGAAAAUAAUAAAUGAAGACCUAAAUAAAUGGAAAUACAUAAUUUGUGCCAGGGAGUGGCUCAUACCCAUAAUCCCAAUGGUUUGGGAGGUGGACGCAGGAGGCCAGAGAUGUAGCUCAGUGGUAGAGGGCUCCUGGGUUCAAUCCCCAGUACUGAAAGGGAGCGGGGAGAGAGAGAGAAGAAAGAGAUAUAUAAUUUGUUCAUACCAAUGUGCCACUUAAUCUAUAGACAAAUGUAUAAUUUCAAAACUAUUCCAACUAUGGGGGAGGGGUAUUAAGGAUCAAAUGAGAUGCAUUCUACCACUGAGCCCCAUCCCCAGCCAUUUUUAUUUUUAUUUUAAAUAUUGAUUUUUUAGUUGUAGUUGGACACAAUACCUUUUAUUUUAUUUAUCUGUUUUUUAUGUGGUGCUGAGGAUCAAACUCCCAUGCCUUGAACAUGCUAGGCGAGCACUCUACCGCUGAGCCAUACCCCAGCCUUAUUUUUUUAUUUAUUAUUAUUAUUUUUUUUUUUGAGACAGGGUCUUGCUAAAUUGCUUAGGGCCUUGCUAAGUUACUGUGGCUGGCCUUGAAUUUGCAAUCCUCCUGCCUCAGCUUCCAACUUGCUGGGAUUACAGGUGUGUACCACCAUGCAGUUUAAAAUUAUUCCAAUUUUUAAAACCUAACAGGAUUUUUUUUGAGGGGUCCUAGGGAUUAAAUCCAGGGACACUUAACCUCUAAGCCACAUUCCCAGCCCUUUUUAUUUUAUUUUGAGACAGGGUCUUACCAAGUUGCUUACUCACUAAAUUGCUGAGGCUGGCCUCAAACUUGUGAUCCUCCUGCUUCAGCUUCCUGAGUUUGAUUCCAAAUCUAUUAGGAAGUGAAAAAGUCUAAGAAGACAAGAAGUACCAAAAGGGAAAGAAAGAAGGAAAGAGGAGAGAUGGAGGGAAAGGAGGAGGGAAAAAGUUUAUUCACACCAUUCAUGUCUUCAUACCUGUACUUUGGAUAAUGGUGACCAUCACCUUCCACCAUCAUUUCUACCCCCUGCCCCCUCCCUUCCCUUCCCACCCCUCUGCCCUAUCUAGAGUUCAUCUAUUCCUCCCAUGCUCCCCCACCCUACCCCACUAUGAAACAGUUUGAUGCUGGUUGUUUUAAUGAAUCAUAAUAAUAACUAUUACUUAUCAGGUAGUUAGUAUGUGCUCAAUACUGUUAAAACACUUCAUAAACUAGAUUUCUUUUUAAAGUCAUGUUUGUUGAGGUAUAACUUACAUAUGGUACAAUUUGCCCAAUAGUUUUAUAGUUAUAUGAAUUUUGAUAACAUAAAUAUAAAAAAUGAAAACAUAUAAAUAUGGAUAUAUAGUACUACAGUGAAGUUACAGAAUGUGUUACCUUAUUCUUCUUUACUUCUUUUUUUAAAACAAAUAGAGAAAUUAAUUUUAUUUUAUUUUAUUUUAUUUUUUUAAAGAGAGAGAGGGAAUUUUUUAGUAUUUAUUUUUUAGUUUCCGGCGGACACAACAUCUUUGUAUGUGGUGCUGAGGAUCAAACCUGGGCCGAACGCAUGCCAGGCGAGCGCACUACCGCUUGAGCCACAUCCCCAGCCUGAGAAAUUAAUUUUAAUAUAUUUUCAUUUAAUCCAAUGGAUUACUAACAUAAUUUGCAAAGAAAAUAAUUAUUAGUAAGAUAUUUCAUGUUCAUUUUCUUUGUCCUAGUAAUUCUUUGGAAUCUAAUGUCUGUUUAACACAUAGCACACCUCAAUUCAGACUAGACACAAUUCAUAUACUCAGCAGUCUCUCAUGUAACCAAUGGCUGCCAUAUUGGCUCCCUUCUCCAUCUUUCACCUUUUGGUGAGACAUGCUGUAGGCUGCAUGAUAAGUCCCCCUUGUUACAUGGUUUCUUGUUGAGUUCCAUGAGAAAGGGACACCAGAGAUGAAUUUAGAAUAUACAAGAGUAGAGGGAGGUGUUUUAUUCCUCCCUAUAAGACUCUAAUAAACUGUGAGUUGGUUUCUACAUGUUUUUGGUGGGAAUAACUUCAGUUAGGUCACCUUCUCCUACAAGUUUUUCAUAAUGGCUCUCUCUUCUUUUACCUCCUACCUCUUCAAGUCUACGGUAGGAAAGGUGCUUCACAAAAUUUGUUAGUUUCCCUCAACCUUGCCCUUACUUUUAUAAAUACCUUAAACAAUUUUUACUCUGAUGGAUCUUUUUCAUCCUUGAAUCUUGAAUAAUGGAUUUUUAAUUCUAAGAGAGUAAAAUAUACCUCAUCUCAUAUCACAAGCAAUGUAUAUAUACAUACCAGAUUAAUUAUAUAUUAAAAUAUAACAUGUAAAAUGCUAAAAUUUUUAAAGAAAAUAUUUGUGUAACUUUGUGAAGAGAAAUGGAAAACAAAAAAAAUACAAAAUAAACAAAACCCUAAAAAAUUGGAUGAUAUUGUAGUUAAAAUUUUUAUGUGUAAAAAUUUAUUUUCCAAAAGGGUUAAAAGGGACAUGAAUUGUAUUAUCGGCCAUUUUUGUUUAUUUUUGGUAUUUAGCUUGACUUGGUUUCUCCUUUGGUUGGCUUUUCCUUUAUUGUAGUUCUUCCCUUUGCAGAUUUUCAUUGUUGUUUUUCAUUUCCUCCUCGUGGAAUAUUUUGCGAAGAAUGUUCUAUAGUGCAGGCUUUCUUGCUGUAAAUUAUUUUAGCUUUUGUUUGUCAUCGAAGGUUUUUAUUUUAUCAUCAAAUUUGAAGCUUAAUUUUGCUGGAUAUAAGAUUCUUGGUUGGCAUCCAUUAUCUUUUAGAGCUUGGUAUAUGUUGUUCCAGGAUCUCCUCGCUUUGAGAGUCUGGGUUGAAAAAUCUGCUGAGAUCUGAAUUGGUCUUCCCUUAUAGGUAAUCUGAUUUUUCUCUCUUGCUGCCUUUAAAAUUCUAUCCUUAUUCUGUAUGCUAGGCAUUUUCACUAUAAUGUGUCUUGAUGUAGAUCUGUUGUAAUUUUGUACAUUUGGUGCCCUAUAGGCCUCUUGUAUUUGAUUUUCCAAUUCAUUCUUCAUGCUUGGGAAAUUUUCUGCUAUUAUUUCAUUGAAGAGAUUGUACAUCCCUUUGGUUUGACUCUCUGAACCCUCCUCUCUCCAAAUUUAAGAUAAAUCUUAAAUUUGGUCCUUUGAUGAUAUCCCAUAAUUCUUGGAUAUUCUGUUCAUGGUUUCUUACUAUCUUCACUGUGAGGUCAACUUUAUUUUCAAUAUUGUAUAUUUUGUCUUCGUUGUCUGAGGUUCUGUCUUCCAAGUGAUCUAGUCUGUUGGGGAUGCUAUCUAUUGACUUUUUUUAUUGUUUCUUUCAAGGAUUUCUGCUUUUUUUUUUUUAUUCCAGUAUCUCCAUCUCUUUCUUGAAGUAAUCUCUUGCAUCCUAUAUUUUCUCUUUGUUGGUGUGAUCAAUGGUCACCUGUAUUUGCUCUCUUAUCUCUUUUUGGAGUGAUCGAUUUUUGCCUGUAUCUGCUCACUUAGGUUGUUCUUUAAUUCCCAAAUCAUUUCAGUUAUGCAUAUUCUGAACUCCUUCUCUGACAUUUCACCUACUGCGCGAUCUGUGGAUUCUAUUGUUGUGGUAUCUUGGUUUGUUUGAGGCAUUUUCCUCCCUUGUUUUUUCAUGAUGUCUAUGAGUCUUCCUCUCUUGCAGUGUAGGUCCCAGGUAUUACAGCUUCUGCCCUACUGUCUUAUAGUGUCCCUAUAGGUUACCAAUACCUCACUUUUAAGGGAGGGAUCAAUAUUACAGCACUCAAUGUACCCAACCUGCAGCCAUAUAUCAGUCAGCUUCUAUUUUUACAUUUAAAGUUUUGUCACUAUAAUCAGAAGUGAUGAGUUCGGUUAUCUUCUACCUUAUAGUCAAUAGGUUUGCGUAAUGGUUUACAGUUUCUAACAGUAGAAAGGGGACUGAAGGAAAAUAUGGAGGUAUUAGAUUAUAUGACAAGUGAGAGGGUAAUCAUAAGAAGCUGGCUGUUAAUAGGAGAAACAAGAGAUAGGCAACCCCAUGCAAGACUCCCUGUUACCUCGGCAACAGGAUAACUGUUAGCACCCCUAGUAGAGAAACCUCUGGUACAGCCAGGCCCAUAGGGACCUUGGUGCCUUCUUAAUAGGUUCUAAUUAUUGUCCCUCAAUAGAAGCAGCAAUAUUCCAGAUUCACCACGGAGGCAGCCUCAAGCCUAUAUGUACCUUGAUGUUGGGCUGUGGAGCCAUGCUUUGGUGAAUAAGGAACCCCAGCACAGAGUGGCUCACCAUUUAUCUCCAGGCAUGGUACAGGCCUCUCCUCUGGAUCUCAGGCUGCAGGUGUGGUGGGCGGGCUUCUCCUCCAGAACUCCAGCUGCUAGUGUGGCCAAAACUUUAGGAAGUUGUAAGUUGCUGAGCUGGUCAUGCCUGAAGUCCUAGUGAUUCUGGAGGCUGAGGCAGGAGGAUCACAAGUUUGAGGCCAGCCUCAGCAACUUAGCAAAGCCCUGUUUAGAGAAAAAAAAAA